AUGGCUAGGGAAUCAAGUCCUGAGAUAGAUGAUGAACUAUUCAAUGAAGUUUAUGGGAAAGCCUACAGCGGUCCAGUUGCAUCUGCUGCAAAUAGCGUGAUACCUAAAGCAAAUGAUGAGAAGAAGCCCCUGACCUGUGAGAAGUCAGAUGAUGAAGAUGAGCCCCGAGAUCCCAAUGCUGUCCCUACUGACUUCACUAGUAGAGAGGCUAGGGUCUGGGAGGCUAAAGCUAAGGCUACAGAAAGGAACUGGAAGAAGAGGAAGGAAGAAGAAAUGAUCUGUAAAAUAUGUGGAGAAUCAGGUCAUUUCACUCAGGGUUGUCCAUCCACACUUGGAGCAAAUAGGAGAAAUGCAGAUUUCUUUGAAAGAGUUCCAGCAAGAGAUAAACAAGUCAGGGAUCUUUUCACUGAGAGGACAAUAAAUCAGAUUGAGAAGGAUGUGGGCUGUAAAAUCAGAAUGGACGAGAAGUUCCUGUUUGUCAGUGGGAAAGAUAGGUUAGUGCUAGCCAAAGGUGUAGAUGCUGUGCAUAAACUCAUCCAGGAAAGUAAGGGUAAACAUAGUUCAAGCAGCCCAAAACGGGAUCGUUCUAGAUCUCCUGUGCGAAAAUCAGUCGAUUUUCGUCCCAGGCAUUCUGAUUCCCAAUGGUCCCAUAGCCCAAGAAAUGUGUCACGCUCUCAAAGUAAAGGUCACUAUAAUGAAAGGCCUGUAGAUGGUCGCUUGCAUGAUGAUAUUCCCAAGUAUCCAAAAGGAUCUCCACAAGCUUAUACCAGCUAUGGAGCAAAAGACCAUCCAGUCCAAUCAAAAUCUCCAUUUCGCCCCUCUUAUCUUGAUGAACCCCUUAGAUCACAUGGUGGGAAUAGCCAAUAUGCUGUGGCACAUAUGCCCAAUAACUGCAGCACUGAGAGACAUGGAACAGAUGCCCAUCUAGACCUUAAGUUUGACCUCCCUUCCUAUCCACAAACUUUGGAAGAGCUUGAAAUUGAGUUCAAAAGAGAAGCAAUGGAAUUAGCUAGAGCCCGUGACCAGGAGGAGGAUGAAGAGAACUCUAAGCAUCGCGAGUCACUUAGAGAAAUGAGGGAGAACCACAUAAAGAGUGUGUCGGUCACGAGGAGUAUGCAAGCAAGGAAGUGGGAUGAAUUUCUUGAACAAAGUUUUAAAAGGCAACAGCAAGCUCAGCAGACCUCAUACGCCCAAACUGGGUAUAGCGAUUUUGAUCAGAGAACUGCACAUUAUGCUGCUACUGGUCCACCUAUUGAUUCAAAGAACACAUAUCCAUAUCCUACUGAUAACUAUUCUGCUCCAAGGCGUCACGUUGCUUAUGGCGAGUUUCAGCAUGACAGACAUGACGAUUUAGGGAGGACCUAUGGGCGAUAUUAG
rnacentral:rRNA from 1 species